rnacentral:tRNA from 1 species
GGAGAGGUGGCCGAGUGGAUUAUGGCGACGGUCUUGAAAACCGUUGUCGGUGCAAGCCGACCGGGGGUUCGAAUCCCUCCCUCUCCGCCA